CUGGUAGAAUGGCCGAGUGUGAUGGCAGUGGGCUGUAAACCCAUUUACAGAGGUUCAAAUCCUCUUUUUACCA
ensembl:Mt_tRNA